rnacentral:misc_RNA from 1 species
UUUUUCCUUUUUUCUUUUUUCCUUUUUCAAAGUUAGAUAUUUUCUUGGGGUUUUUUUGAGAUAUAUGAUUAUAUUAAAUUUGAUAAAUAUGGAUGUCCCUUUGGCCGAGCGGUUAAGGCGAAUCUCUCAGGCGACGUGGUUUUUGUUUUCAUUAAUGUGCACCACCUUAAGGGGAUGGUGGGCUCAAGAGGAUGAAAAUUGAUGCAAAAAUAACUUGUUUUUCUUCAUCUUUUCGAGUUGGUUUUAUAGGUGAUCCUCAAGGGAAUCCUCAAAUAGGUGAUCAUUGUUAACUGAACUAAAGGUUGCUACAAUUUUAAUACAAAUCCACAAAAAUUCAAUGGCCUAGAAAUUCCCACUUGUAUUGGCAGAUGCAUACUCAUGGUAAUCCUUCAGUUGGGCGUUGAUACAGUGAUAAACUGAAUAGGUACCUUGACUGCAAAUGUUUACAUAUGCCAGCUUCGCAGGUCAGAAACAGCUUAACAAGACCAGCAUGGAUGGAACUGGCACAUCAAGCAGCUCAUAAACUUCACAUGUAGCAAUCAAUUACAUAUGAAAUUUUGAAUCUUAAAUCGCAAAGCCAAUUUGCUUCAAAAAAAUAGACAACUGAAAUUGGUAAAUCAUGUGGAAGGACAGAAUAGGGAUCCAGGUAUUCUAAACAUCAUUGAAGCAGGAAGAUCAAGAAGAAAUGCCAAAUAUUCUAAUGUCCGUACUUCUGGAAUUCCCAUUCACUGUUAUCCAAUGGACACACUUGACGAGUCUUUAGCCACCGGCUGAUGCAGUGAAAGUGAAAUGCAUGGUUACAAACCCCUGUAUAGACAUCACUAGUUUAAAUUUCAGGGGAUAUGGCCAAUAUUACUUUAUAUUUUAGAUAUUUAUGACUCAAUAAACAAAUUCAAACACCAAUAAGAUAAGAUCAAGUUUAUGCAUAAGAGGACAGAUCGUAGAUAGUUGCAUAUACAAAAUCCACAAGCAAUAAAAAUCUGAUGCUAAGACAUCUUGCUGCUACUAUUAUACAAUAAGCUUGAUAAGAUGCUGCUAAUACAUUUGGCAAACAUUCUGAGCAAAACAAGAAUAUAUAUGAUUCUUGUCUAAGAAGAAAACUAAAAAUAUUAUUGCCACCAUCCGCAUAUCACAAAAACCAAAAUGUUCCAGAAUAAAGAAUAACAAAGCAAAUUUGACAUACAAACCAACCUGGUAUAUAAAUUUCAGAAAAGUUGCAAUGCCAUCUAUUCAAAGAAAGCCAACUAUUGUAACCUUUCUAUAUGGUCCUUAACCCAACAAGCCAUAUAGAAAACCGAAAAAAAGGAAAAUGAAUCCUUGACUUGUCAAUUAAUAUCAAUUCAAAUAGAGCUACGAACUGGGCUUGGACACAAGGUUUCAAUGAGUUAAUUUUGAAUGUUUUCACCUUUUUAGCAUGAUCAAGUAGCAAGUCUUCAUCUAGUAAGCCAUCAGGACAUACACCGUUCAUUUGUGUACAAACAACAAAAUGAGUUUCACAAGUCACAAACAAGCUGAUAACUAGACUUUGUCCAAAUAUAGUCGAAUUGGAAUAAUGAAUAUAAUGUCAAUCAAGGAGUAGUCUAAUUGGUCUUUUUCUACCUCAAAUGUGCAUAUAUUGAAAAUGUCUUAAGUUCGAGUCUUCCAAUCUACUAAUUAUGAAAUUUAUCGUAUUUAUGGUGAGCCUUAUCAUAGAGAGGAAGGCAGAAUGCAACCUCCAAUAGUAUAACCUACCAAUUAUUACUCAACCCAUUAGGCCUAAUUUGUAUAAGGAAGGGUAAUCAAUACAAGUGUUGCACAUAAGAGUUACAAAAUAGAAAAGGCAAUGCCAGCGCUAACUAAUCAAUAACAUUACAAACAUCACCACUGUCAAGUAUACAACAGUCUUCAGUCAUAUAGACGCAAUUCAAGUUGCUAUAAUGCCAUAGUUCGAAGUUCAGAUAUAAAAUAAAAUUGGUUAUAAAACCAAGCUUCACAAAACGUGCAGCAUUUAUCAGUUGCCAACAGCACAACUACUACUGUGGUUAAACUUCAUUAAAUUUUCAAUGAGUGUCUGAUACAUCAAUUGGUUGAUUUUAGAGAAGGCAUGCUAUAAUAUUUAUAUCCUACCUGUGCUGUAUAAUGACUAAUAAAAAUGAACCAAUUUAUAGCCAUUGGCCAUUGAAUUAUUGCCUCGGUCAAACUAAAUAUUAUGUCAAAAUGAGCCAGACUGUAUUGGUUGGGUUUCUUACAAAAUCCAUUACAAAAUCCCACCACAAUCACCGAUUACAAUGAAACCGUACAUUCGUCUUACCAAAUAAAAUUCUUAACGAGACAAAGAACAACAGCAAUACAAAUAUGAAAACGCACACAUCUUACGUCCAGACAUUUAAAGAUGCAUAAAACAAAUUGAAUGCUCACCCCAAGCAACAGUGCAUUCCUCGCUGGUGGCACUAGCCUGGUUCGCUUGGCACUCGAUGCCUAAUCACCAAACCAUUAACAAAAUCAUAUUAAAGAACAAAUUACAGAAUUAGAUUUGCAGAGAACUUAAGCUAACCAAAAUAUCAAAGCAGAACAAUACUUGAAAUUGAAGAAAAUAAAAAAUGAUAACUCACAUAGAUCCAUAAUAUGGUUCCUACAA